rnacentral:rRNA from 1 species
AUUGAACGCUGGCGGCAGGCCUAACACAUGCAAGUCGAGCGGAUGAAGGGAGCUUGCUCCUGGAUUCAGCGGCGGACGGGUGAGUAAUGCCUAGGAAUCUGCCUGGUAGUGGGGGAUAACGACCGGAAACGGGCGCUAAUACCGCAUACGUCCUGAGGGAGAAAGUGGGGGAUCUUCGGACCUCACGCUAUCAGAUGAGCCUAGGUCGGAUUAGCUAGUUGGUGGGGUAAAGGCCUACCAAGGCGACGAUCCGUAACUGGCCUGAGAGGAUGAUCAGUCACACUGGAACUGAGACACGGUCCAGACUCCUACGGGAGGCAGCAGUGGGGAAUAUUGGACAAUGGGCGAAAGCCUGAUCCAGCCAUGCCGCGUGUGUGAAGAAGGUCUUCGGAUUGUAAAGCACUUUAAGUUGGGAGGAAGGGCAGUAAGUUAAUACCUUGCUGUUUUGACGUUACCAACAGAAUAAGCACCGGCUAACUUCGUG